rnacentral:rRNA from 1 species
GGGUUGUGAGGUUAAGCGACUAAGCGUACACGGUGGAUGCCCUGGCAGUCAGAGGCGAUGAAGGACGUGCUAAUCUGCGAUAAGCGUCGGUAAGGUGAUAUGAACCGUUAUAACCGGCGAUUUCCGAAUGGGGAAACCCAGUGUGUUUCGACACACUAUCAUUAACUGAAUCCAUAGGUUAAUGAGGCGAACCGGGGGAACUGAAACAUCUAAGUACCCCGAGGAAAAGAAAUCAACCGAGAUUCCCCCAGUAGCGGCGAGCGAACGGGGAGCAGCCCAGAGCCUGAAUCAGUGUGUGUGUUAGUGGAAGCGUCUGGAAAGGCGCGCGAUACAGGGUGACAGCCCCGUACACAAAAAUGCACAUGCUGUGAGCUCGAUGAGUAGGGCGGGACACGUGGUAUCCUGUCUGAAUAUGGGGGGACCAUCCUCCAAGGCUAAAUACUCCUGACUGACCGAUAGUGAACCAGUACCGUGAGGGAAAGGCGAAAAGAACCCCGGCGAGGGGAGUGAAAAAGAACCUGAAACCGUGUACGUACAAGCAGUGGGAGCACGCUUAGGCGUGUGACUGCGUACCUUUUGUAUAAUGGGUCAGCGACUUAUAUUCUGUAGCAAGGUUAACCGAAUAGGGGAGCCGAAGGGAAACCGAGUCUUAACUGGGCGUUAAGUUGCAGGGUAUAGACCCGAAACCCGGUGAUCUAGCCAUGGGCAGGUUGAAGGUUGGGUAACACUAACUGGAGGACCGAACCGACUAAUGUUGAAAAAUUAGCGGAUGACUUGUGGCUGGGGGUGAAAGGCCAAUCAAACCGGGAGAUAGCUGGUUCUCCCCGAAAGCUAUUUAGGUAGCGCCUCGUGAAUUCAUCUCCGGGGGUAGAGCACUGUUUCGGCAAG